GGCUCCCUAGUGUAGUGGUUAGCACGGCUGCUUUACAUGUAGAAGGUCCUGGGUUUGCACCCCAGGUGGAGCCA
rnacentral:tRNA from 1 species